GUCCUCGUAGCUCAGCUGUAUAGAGCAGUCGCCUCCUAAGCGACAGGUCGCAGGUUAGAAUCCUGCCGAGGACGCCA
rnacentral:tRNA from 2 species